UCGUCCAUGGUGAGGGCAUUUCCUAAGCAUCUCCUUGAAUCUCUCCCAAGCUUCACUUAAUGUUUCAUCUUCAAACUAUAGAAAAGCAACAAUUUCGUUUCUGAACCA